GAUACUGUAUAUAGUUGUGAAUAUUGUUAUACUGUAGUCAUUAAAUGCCAUUUGUCCAGAACUGUGACAGCGUACCUCAUUUAUUGCAAUUGAUUUAAGUUAUGCAGUUUAAGAUUAACAGUGAUAUGGGGAGAAUUCUGUAACUCAAGUCCCCAACCAGUGUCUGCUGUUGGAACUUCUGCUGAGGAUUUGCCUGCAGUGCAGCACAUUGAAGCUGUGAAGCAACAUGUGCAAUUUAAUAUCCGUGACAUAUUAAACAAGACAGCUGAUGGAAAAGGCUUGGUUACGAGUCUUGAACAAAGUCAUCACAUUUCUCUCAACCAAAGACGAUGCAUGGUCCGAAUUCUUGUAUCACACCUGAUGGAACGCUUUGGUGAGAAUCCAACCUCAGAUAAGAAGACCAUGUUGGCGUCAGCAAUAGUGGAUCAGUUUCCCUGUCUGAGAGACCCUCUGGGCACAGGCUUUGAUGCAUGGUUCACGCCAGGGAGAAAUCACAAACCGGCAACAGGGUUUUUGGAAGAGCGUCUCCGCAAUGUUCGCAAAAGGCUCAGAAAUGGCAGGCGGAGGGAUUCAGCAGAGGGGACUCCAAAGGAAACCCGGACCAUUGUGCCAGAAUCCUUGAUAAGUGCAGAGCGGGCCGUCCAGAUGACAGAGUGGCUAAAAAAUAACAUCAGGCCCCUGUCCCAGGUUGUCCAGUAUAUGCAUGAAACUGCCACUCACAGAGCACAGUGGAUCCGUGCCUGUGGCACAGUGCCAAUGUCUCAGAUCAUUGCUGAGUUUCCUCGCUUAUUGGACACUCCAGGCAUGGUGAGUUUUACUCCCCUCGAGUUAAAGUUC